CCUACGGGCGGCAGCAGUAGGGAAUCUUCCACAAUGGGCGAAAGCCUGAUGCAGCAACGCCGCGUGGGUGAAGAAGGUCUUCGGAUCGUAAAACCCUGUUGUUAGAGAAGAAAGUGCGUGAGAGUAACUGUUCACGUUUCGACGGUAUCUAACCAGAAAGCCACGGCUAACUACGUGCCAGCAGCCGCGGUAAUACGUAGGUGGCAAGCGUUAUCCGGAUUUAUUGGGCGUAAAGGGAACGCAGGCGGUCUUUUAAGUCUGAUGUGAAAGCCUUCGGCUUAACCGGAGUAGUGCAUUGGAAACUGGGAGACUUGAGUGCAGAAGAGGAGAGUGGAACGCCAUGUGUAGCGGUGAAAUGCGUAGAUAUAUGGAAGAACACCAGUGGCGAAAGCGGCUCUCUGGUCUGUAACUGACGCUGAGGUUCGAAAGCGUGGGUAGCAAACAGGAUUAGAUACCCUAGUAGUC
rnacentral:rRNA from 1 species